AACGAACGCUGGCGGCAUGCCUAACACAUGCAAGUCGAACGAAGUCUUCGGACUUAGUGGCGCACGGGUGCGUAACGCGUGGGAAUCUGCCCUUGGGUGCGGAAUAACUUCUCGAAAGGGAUGCUAAUACCGCAUAAUGUCGUAAGACCAAAGAUUUAUCGCCCAAGGAUGAGCCCGCGUAAGAUUAGCUAGUUGGUGGGGUAAAAGCCUACCAAGGCGACGAUCUUUAGCUGGUCUGAGAGGAUGAUCAGCCACACUGGGACUGAGACACGGCCCAGACUCCUACGGGAGGCAGCAGUGGGGAAUAUUGGACAAUGGGCGAAAGCCUGAUCCAGCAAUGCCGCGUGAGUGAUGAAGGCCCUAGGGUUGUAAAGCUCUUUCGUGGGGGAAGAUAAUGACGGUACCCCAAGAAGAAGCCCCGGCUAACUCCGUGCCAGCAGCCGCGGUAAU
rnacentral:rRNA from 1 species